CCCACGGGGGGCAGCAGUGGGGAAUAUUGGACAAUGGGCGAAAGCCUGAUCCAGCCAUGCCGCGUGUGUGAAGAAGGCCUUCGGGUUGUAAAGCACUUUCAGUGGGGAAGAAAGCCUUGGGGCUAAUACCCUCGAGGAAGGACAUCACCCACAGAAGAAGCACCGGCUAACUCCGUGCCAGCAGCCGCGGUAAUACGGAGGGUGCGAGCGUUAAUCGGAAUUACUGGGCGUAAAGCGCGCGUAGGCGGUCUGAUAAGCCGGUUGUGAAAGCCCCGGGCUCAACCUGGGAACGGCAUCCGGAACUGUCAGGCUAGAGUGCAGGAGAGGAAGGUAGAAUUCCCGGUGUAGCGGUGAAAUGCGUAGAGAUCGGGAGGAAUACCAGUGGCGAAGGCGGCCUUCUGGACUGACACUGACGCUGAGGUGCGAAAGCGUGGGUAGCAAACAGGAUUAGAUACCCCUGUAGUC
rnacentral:rRNA from 1 species